GAUGAACGCUAGCUACAGGCUUAACACAUGCAAGUCGAGGGGAAACGACAUCGAAAGCUUGCUUUUGAUGGGCGUCGACCGGCGCACGGGUGAGUAACGCGUAUCCAACCUGCCCACCACUUGGGGAUAACCUUGCGAAAGUAAGACUAAUACCCGAUGAUAUCCCUAGAAGACAUCUGAAAGGGAUUAAAGAUUUAUCGGUGAUGGAUGGGGAUGCGUCUGAUUAGCUUGUUGGCGGGGUAACGGCCCACCAAGGCAACGAUCAGUAGGGGGUUCUGAGAGGAAGGUCCCCCACAUUGGAACUGAGACACGGUCCAAACUCCUACGGGAGGCAGCAGUGAGGAAUAUUGGUCAAUGGGCGAGAGCCUGAACCAGCCAAGUAGCGUGCAGGAUGACGGCCCUAUGGGUUGUAAACUGCUUUUAUAAGGGAAUAAAGUGGGUCUCGUGAGACUUUUUGCAUGUACCUUAUGAAUAAGGACCGGCUAAUUCCGUG
rnacentral:rRNA from 1 species